AACAGGAUUAGAUACCCUGGUAGUCCACGCCGUAAACGAUGUCUACUAGGAGGUUGUGCCCUUGAGGCGUGGCUUCUGGGGCUAACGCGUUAAGUAGACCGCCUGGGGAGUACGGCCGCAAGGUUAAAACUCAAAUGAAUUGACGGGGGCCCGCACAAGCGGUGGAGCAUGUGGUUUAAUUCGAUGCAACGCGAAGAACCUUACCUGGUCUUGACAUCCACAGAAGAAUCCAGAGAUGGAUUUGCGCCUUCGGGAACUGUGAGACAGGUGCUGCAUGGCUGUCGUCAGCUCGUGUUGUGAAAUGUUGGGUUAAGUCCCGCAACGAGCGCAACCCUUAUCCUUUGUUGCCAGCGGUCCGGCCGGGAACUCAAAGGAGACUGCCUGUGAUAAACUGGAGGAAGGUGGGGAUGACGUCAAGUCAUCAUGGCCCUUACGACCAGGGCUACACACGCGCUACAAUGGCGCAUACAAAGAGAAGCGACCUCGCGAGAGCAAGCGGACCUCAUAAAGUGCGUCGUAGUCCGGAUUGGAGUCUGCAACUCGACUCCAUGAAGUCGGAAUCGCUAGUAAUCGUGGAUCAGAAUGCCACGGUGAAUACGUUCCCGGGCCUUGUACACACCGCCCGUCACACCAUGGGAGUGGGUUGCAAAAGAAGUAGGUAGCUUAACCUUCGGGAGGGCGCUUACCACUUUGUGAUUCAUGACUGGGGUGAAGUCGUAACAAGGUAACC
rnacentral:rRNA from 1 species